rnacentral:rRNA from 1 species
UAGAGUUUGAUCAUGGCUCAGAUUGAACGCUGGCGGCAGGCCUAACACAUGCAAGUCGAGCGGAAACGAGAAUAGCUUGCUAUUCGGCGUCGAGCGGCGGACGGGUGAGUAAUGCCUGGGAAUAUGCCCUGAUGUGGGGGAUAACUAUUGGAAACGAUAGCUAAUACCGCAUAAUCUCUUCGGAGUAAAGAGGGGGACCUUCGGGCCUCUCGCGUCAGGAUUAGCCCAGGUGGGAUUAGCUUGUUGGUGGGGUAAAGGCUCACCAAGGCGACGAUCCCUAGCUGGUCUGAGAGGAUGAUCAGCCACACUGGAACUGAGACACGGUCCAGACUCCUACGGGAGGCAGCAGUGGGGAAUAUUGCACAAUGGGCGAAAGCCUGAUGCAGCCAUGCCGCGUGUAUGAAGAAGGCCUUCGGGUUGUAAAGUACUUUCAGCGAGGAGGAAAGCUCAAUUGUUAAUAGCAGUUGGGUGUGACGUUACUCGCAGAAGAAGCACCGGCUAACUUCGUGCCAGCAGCCGCGGUAAUACGAGGGGUGCAAGCGUUAAUCGGAAUUACUGGGCGUAAAGCGUACGCAGGCGGUAUGUUAAGCGAGAUGUGAAAGCCCCGGGCUCAACCUGGGAACUGCAUUUCGAACUGGCAAACUAGAGUCCUGUAGAGGGGGGUAGAAUUUCA